UCAUUGAUUCCGGUGUCGCUCUCAUCAAGGGAGGUUUAUUUGACCACGGGAGCCUCGUAAAUGCCAUCAAGGGUGCAGAUGUCGUGAUCUCGGCCGUGGGGACCCCUCAGCUCGACGAGCAGACGAGGAUUGUCAUGGCCAUCAAGGAGGCCGGCAAUGUCAUCAAGAGGUUCCUGCCGUCUGAGUUCGGCUCUGACCCAGAGCGGGUUCACCCCGUGGAUCCAGCGACCACACUUUACGCUGGUAAAAUC